rnacentral:rRNA from 1 species
AACGAACGCUGGCGGCAUGCCUAACACAUGCAAGUCGAACGAGACCUUCGGGUCUAGUGGCGCACGGGUGUGUAACGCGUGGGAACCUGCCCUUAGGUUCGGAAUAACUCCCCGAAAGGGGUGCUAAUACCGGAUAAUGUCUUCGGACCAAAGAUUUAUCGCCUUUGGAUGGGCCCGCGUUGGAUUAGCUAGUUGGUAGGGUAAAAGCCUACCAAGGCGACGAUCCAUGGCUGGUCUGAGAGGAUGAUCAGCCACACUGGGACUGAGACACGGCCCAGACUCCUACGGGAGGCAGCAGUGGGGAAUAUUGGACAAUGGGCGAAAGCCUGAUCCAGCAAUGCCGCGUGAGUGAUGAAGGCCUUAGGGUUGUAAAGCUCUUUUACCCGGGAUGAUAAUGACAGUACCGGGAGAAUAAGCUCCGGCUAACUCCGUG